UACGUAGGGUGCAAGCGUUAAUCGGAAUUACUGGGCGUAAAGCGUACGCAGGCGGUUAUGUAAGACAGAUGUGAAAUCCCCGGGCUCAACCUGGGAACUGCAUUUGUGACUGUAUAGCUAGAGUACGGCAGAGGGAGAUGGAAUUCCGCGUGUAGCAGUGAAAUGCGUAGAUAUGCGGAGGAACACCGAUGGCGAAGGCAAUCCCCUGGGCCUGUACUGACGCUCAUGCACGAAAGCGUGGGGAGCAAACAGG
rnacentral:rRNA from 1 species